rnacentral:snRNA from 1 species
GCGUUCGCUUGAGCACCACAUAUACUAAAACUGGAAUACAGAGAAAAUUAGCAUGAUCCCUGCACAAGGAUGACACAGAAAUUUGUAAAGCAUUCCAUAUUUUA